AGAAAAAAGAGAAAGAAGUAUUUUUAUUCUCUAUUUUAUUCAAUUUCUUAAUCCUUUUAGUCAUCGGGUGUUGAAAGAGUUUCCGUCAACCUCUUUCACGAUCGUGCUCGCAGGAGGAGGAAUUUCGGUCGUAUCUUGGGGUAUUGUUCCCGGUUAAUCCCGCACGUAAGGACGAGAAUACGCCUUAGGGCAGUGCCUCGCACGCUUCCGGAUCAAAUUUUCUAUUUGGAUUUAGCAAUUAUCUGUAAGUUGUAUUUAUUUAUUUUUAUAAUAAAAUUUAGUUAGAUUUAAAUCACAAUCAGAUUUUCGUUGCGGUAUUUGUUCCAACAGGUUUCCUUUUCUCUAAUGUUUUAUAUCACCCCUUUGGCAAUUUUUUAUACACAAAAAUCUUAUAUGUAAUAGCAAUUUUGUAUAAAAUCAAGAUUAUAUGGCUAAAAUAUAGAAAACUCUAUUAUAAAGCCUUAUUUAUUCACUUCUUCUCUCUGAUUUUUAAAAAUCUUUAUUUUGCCUUCUUAAAAUUUUAAAUUUUUGCUCUUAGCUCAGCCGUCAAUAUCCCAUCACUAUUUCGUUAAUAUUUUAUAUUAGGGAUAAUUGCCUAUACACCCCUCAUGCGUUCGGAAAUAUCCGAUCUACCCCUACUUUUUUUUUCUUUCUAAAAUGCCCCUCAUAUGUUCCACCGUUAUUCCAAAAUACCCUCGCAGUUAUCCCCUGUUAGCUUAACUCGGGUUAAACAUGAGUUAAAUGUAUACUAGAGUUAAAACCUAUAUAAAAUACCUAUUUUACCCCUAACUUAUUAUGCCAAUUCCUUAAGUUAUCCUCUUUCUCUCCCAAAGUCCCAACUUGAUCGCCGGCUCCUCCGCCUCCAUGUCGCCGGCUCCCGCUGCCGG
rnacentral:lncRNA from 1 species